UACGUAGGGUGCAAGCGUUAAUCGGAAUUACUGGGCGUAAAGCGUACGCAGGCGGCUAUGUAAGACAGGUGUGAAAUCCCCGGGCUUAACCUGGGAACUGCAUUUGUGACUGCAUUGCUGGAGUGCGGCAGAGGGGGAUGGAAUUCCGCGUGUAGCAGUGAAAUGCGUAGAUAUGCGGAGGAACACCGAUGGCGAAGGCAAUCCCCUGGGCCUGCACUGACGCUCAUGCACGAAAGCGUGGGGAGCAAACAGG
rnacentral:rRNA from 1 species